rnacentral:rRNA from 1 species
UGGGGAAUUUUGCAGAAGGGGGGAAACCCUGAUGCAGCGACGCCGCGUGAUUUAGAAGGCCUUCGGGUUGUAAAAAUCUUUUCUAUGGGAAGAAAAUGACAGUACCAUAGGAAUAAGGACCGGCUAAUUACGUGCCAGCAGCCGCGGUAAUACGUAAGGUCCGAGCGUUGUCCGGAAUCAUUGGGCGUAAAGGGUACGUAGGCGGGUAAGCAAGUUAGAAGCGAAAUCCUAUAGCUCAACUAUAGUAAGCUUUUAAAACUGCUCAUCUUGAGGUAUGGAAGGGAAAGUGGAAUUCCUAGUGUAGCGGUGAAAUGCGCAGAUAUUAGGAGGAAUACCGGUGGCGAAGGCGACUUUCUGGCCAUAACCUGACGCUGAGGUACGAAAGCGUGGGUAGCAAACAGG